UACAGAGGUCCCAAGCGUUGUUCGGAUUCACUGGGCGUAAAGGGUGCGUAGGCGGUCGGGUAAGUCUGAUGUGAAAUCUCACAGCUUAACUGUGAAACUGCAUUGGAUACUAUUCGGCUUGAGAGUUGGAGGGGGGACUGGAAUUCUUGGUGUAGCAGUGAAAUGCGUAGAUAUCGGAAGGAACGCCGGUGGCGAAAGCGGCGUGCUGGACCUCUUCUGACGCUGAGGCGCGAAAGCCAGGGGAGCAAACGGG
rnacentral:rRNA from 1 species